GACGAACGCUGGCGGCGUGCUUAACACAUGCAAGUCGAACGGAAAGGCCCUGCUUUUGUGGGGUGCUCGAGUGGCGAACGGGUGAGUAACACGUGAGUAACCUGCCCUUGACUUUGGGAUAACUUCAGGAAACUGGGGCUAAUACCGGAUAGGAGCUCCUGCUGCAUGGUGGGGGUUGGAAAGUUUCGGCGGUUGGGGAUGGACUCGCGGCUUAUCAGCUUGUUGGUGGGGUAGUGGCUUACCAAGGCUUUGACGGGUAGCCGGCCUGAGAGGGUGACCGGCCACAUGGGGACUGAGAUACGGCCCAGACUCCUACGGGAGGCAGCAGUGGGGAAUAUUGCACAAGGGGCGGAAGCCUGAUGCAGCAACGCCGCGUGCGGGAGGACGGCCUUCGGGUGGUAAACCGCUUUCGCCUGUGACGAAGCGUGAGUGACGGUAAUGGGUAAAGAAGCACCGGCUACUACGUG
rnacentral:rRNA from 1 species